GCGCCAGUAGUCUAGCCUGGUAGGACUUUGCCUUCCCAAGGCAAUAACCCGGGUUCAAAUCCCGGCUGGCGCA
rnacentral:tRNA from 1 species